rnacentral:tRNA from 1 species
GGCCCGUUCGUCUAUCGGUUAGGACCUCAGGCUUUCAUCCUGGAAAGAGGGGUUCGACUCCCCUGCGGGCUACAA